UGAGUGUGCCUUCCUGACAGUUGGCAGCACUACUGUGCUGCUGUGUGAGUGCCCGCUCAGAAGAUGCUCAUGAAGCAGCAGGACCGGCUGGAGGAGCGAGAGCAGGACAUUGAGGACCAGCUGUACAAACUCGAGUCAGACAAGCGCCUGGUGGAGGAGAAAGUGAACCAACUGAAGGAGGAAGUUCGGCUGCAGUACGAGAAGCUGCACCAGCUGCUGGACGAGGACCUGCGGCAGACAGUGGAGGUCCUGGACAAGGCCCAGGCCAAGUUCUGCAGCGAGAACGCAGCGCAGGCGCUGCACCUCGGGGAGCGCAUGCAGGAGGCCAAGAAGCUGCUGGGCUCCCUGCAGCUGCUCUUUGAUAAGACGGAGGAUGUCAGCUUCAUGAAGAACACCAAGUCUGUGAAAAUCCUGAUGGACAGGACCCAGACCUGCACAAGCAGCAGCCUUUCCCCGCCUAAGAUCGGCCACCUGAACUCCAAGCUCUUCCUGAAUGAGGUGGCCAAGAAGGAGAAGCAGCUGCGGAAAAUGCUAGAAGGCCCCUUCAGCACGCCGGUGCCCUUCCUGCAGAGUGUCCCACUGUACCCUUGUGGCGUGAGCAGCUCUGGGGCGGAAAAGCGCAAGCACUCAACGGCCUUCCCAGAGGCCAGUUUCCUAGAGACGUCGUCGGGCCCUGUGGGCGGCCAGUACGGGGCGGCGGGCACAGCCAGCGGUGAGGGCCAGUCUGGGCAGCCCCUGGGGCCCUGCAGCUCCACGCAGCA
rnacentral:sRNA from 1 species